rnacentral:rRNA from 1 species
GACGAACGCUGGCGGCGUGCUUAACACAUGCAAGUCGAACGGAAAGGCCCUGCUUUUGUGGGGUGCUCGAGUGGCGAACGGGUGAGUAACACGUGAGUAACCUGCCCUUGACUUUGGGAUAACUUCAGGAAACUGGGGCUAAUACCGGAUAGGAGCUCCUGCUGCAUGGUGGGGGUUGGAAAGUUUCGGCGGUUGGGGAUGGACUCGCGGCUUAUCAGCUUGUUGGUGGGGUAGUGGCUUACCAAGGCUUUGACGGGUAGCCGGCCUGAGAGGGUGACCGGCGACAUUGGGACUGAGAUACGGCCCAGACUCCUACGGGAGGCAGUAGUGGGGAAUAUUGCACAAUGGGCGGAAGCCUGAUGCAGCAACGCCGCGUGCGGGAUGAAGGCCUUCGGGUUGUAAACCGCUUUCGCCUGUGACGAAGCGUGAGUGACGGUAAUGGGUAAAGAAGCACCGGCUAACUACGUG